UUGGAGCUCUGUGGGUGAGGAACUGAGUAUCACUUCUGCUAAAAUUCAUAGAUUUUAUUGAGAAAGGAUUUCUCUAAGGAACCUGCGGAAUCAGGUGAUGGCAGGACAGAGAUUCCUGAAGAACCUCCCUUUGAAGGGAAAGGUGACCUCUUUUCAGCAACAUAUUAGUGGGUGUUGUGUGGACAGCUGCUGUGACUGCAAGCAUGCAUCAAAACAGUGCUGAAGCAAUCCAGGGGUGGACUGACCUGCUUUGCAGAGAAAGAAGGGGCAGAAGGCAUCUGUUUACGCUUAAUGGCCUUCUUUUUGGGUAAUAGCCCUGGGUAAAGAGAAUAAUAUUAGCU
rnacentral:lncRNA from 1 species